UCCCACCACCUGCCAGCACUGCAGCCUUGGCCAAAGCACCACACGUCAUUGCCCUUCAUCUGAAAAAUGGGGCUAGUACCCCUACCUCGCAAGGCUGUCCUAAGUCUUGGCUGAGGCUGCUUGCGCAAAGCACUUGGCCCGGUGCCUGGCUUGGCUGGUCCUGAGGUCUCCAUAAAUGGUGGGUGUUAUUAUUGGUGCAUUCUGUAGGGUAUGAGCGGGGCUCAGGGACGGGCCCCCGUAUGACCCAUGGGGAGGCUGACCACCGACUCUUGGACACCUGGAUCCGGGGAAGGGCUCAGGCUGGGGAGGAGAAUCAAGGAAGAGGGGGACAGGCAGCAUCACUCUCUCCUCAUAGGCGUGACUGCUGGGGGGAUGGGGCGGUGGGGGAGCUUAAAUGUUUGAUGAGUCAGUUUCAGCUUUUUUAUUUUGGAGAGUCUGCUGAGGCGGGAGCGGGCUGGAUUACCAUGAAGUGCUCCUAAUUUGCACAGAGAGAUAAGGAGCUCAUCAUAACUGAGAGAGGGGGACUGUUAUUUCCAAGCAGCUGCGGCAGGCUGGUCCUAGGUGAGCCAGAAUUUCUGGGCUGGGGGUGGGGGUGCCUGGGCUCACUCUGCCUCCAUGGCCCCUGUACCAGGUGAUCUCAGUCCUGGCCGGAGGUGGCAGGGGAGGGACAGGCACUCCUAGACAGAGGUGGUUGGGAGAAAGACAUAGAGAAGCCUGAACUCAUAUUUCUGAAAAUUGGACACGUUAUUGAGUUUUAUGAAUGCCUGUCCUGCCCGAGGGAGGCAUAGCUAUAAACUCGAGGCUGGGCUGCCAUGAUCUAUCCCCUCCCCCCGUCACUCCCCGUCUCCCCCCCCCCCCCCCCCCGACCCUGAUGUCUGAGGCCUGGAGGAUGAUCCAGCUGCUUUUUUCACUAGGCUUGCUCAGCCUGCAGUCUGGGCUCCUGCUGCUGAAGGGACAGAAGGCGGAUGUUGGGAAGAACUUCCUAAGGAAGCAUCAAGAGGGGCCUGUGUGAUCCUAGCCUCAGGUGGCCUUUACGGAGGGGCUCUGCCGAAAGUCCCCUUUCUGGGCCCUGAGCUCCAGUAGACCCUAGCUUUGGGAGGUUGACUGACCUGAUAGGGAGGGACAAGUUGCUGAACUUUCUCAGGCUUGGAUGGAGCUCAAGUGGGCAGCAGAGAGGUCUAGGGGACCUCAUUCUGGUGGGACAAGCUCCUGGCAUCUGAGCAAGAUGAGAAGACUGAGGCUGAAGAGGUGGCGCAGGGUCACACAGAGCAGGGAUCGGAACCACAUCCGGCUGACGCCAGCUCCCUGGGUUCUGGACCGCUUGGGAUGUCAGUGAGUCCACCUGCUCUGGCGAGGCCUGUGCUGGGCUCCGGAGAAGAGCCGUGAGCAGGGCAGAUGCGGUCCUGGCUCGCUCAGACCUUCAGCAAUCUGGCGUGGGUGAGGUAGCCUUGGGGACUCAGGUGGCUUUGCGGGUCCCUGAGCGACUGCUGGCGAGGGUGGGGUCAGGAAGGGGGCGUGUCCAGCACUUCCGCCUUCAGUGUCCCCGCUGCUAGCGGGUUUUUUUGCCCCGUAAGUAAUUGUGUGUAAGGCAAUUUUGCCCUAAAAGGAUGAGAAGAUAACUGGUUGACGGUUUGAUUUGACAGUUUGUUUUCAUUUCUCCGCGGACCCAGUCCCCCCAUGUUUAUACCACAGAGAUCUCAGCCCUCAUGAUCGUCUGGAUUGUGGUGCAGAGUUUGAACUCACAUCUGCCAGACAACUUUGGAACGUCUAUCAAGGGACGUGCGACAAUAUCCCAAGAACAAACAAUAGCGCAGAAGGCUUUCAUGUUGCAAUGCGAACCUCAUUUGCAAACACGCAUCCUAGUUUUUGGAAACGGGUUUUUCUCUUAGGAAGAAAUUUUAGGGAGAAUCGAAGGCGUGUGACGCUGCACAGAACGAUGAACCCACGGGCAAAGAGACACGUGCAAUACUCCGACCCAAAGACUCCGAAGACAAGUGUGAAGGCAGGGCACAAGGUUGGUGUGUACAUCUAAGGUGGCACCAGAAGUCAUGGAUCCAUGUACAUCAACUGGCUCUCACCAAGAAGUGACAGAAGCCUCAAAACCCAAUAAAGCCAAAUCUCUGAGCAGGGGAGCCAUGAACAGGUACAUCAAGGGGCUGAUGAUAGAGCCUCAGGAUGUGUGAUGGGAAGGCCAAUUAGCUUCUGGGGUAUCCGGCCCCAGAGAAGAGGCAGGAGUGUGUGGUGGGCAAGAAUGCAGACUUCAAGGUCAGAUAAAUUUUGGUUCUCAUCUGGACUCCUCUACUUACUCCCUGGACGGCCCAGGCAAGCUUAGUGAUUUCUCUGAGCCUUGGUUUCCUCUUCCAUACAAUGGGAAUAAUAAUGUUAUUAGUUGUCUAUUGCUGCAUAACAAAUACCACUCCCCGCCCCCCCCCAAUUUAGUAGCUGAAAACCAUAUAUAUUUAUUGUCUUGUAGAUUUGGGGGGUCAGGUAUCCAGGAGUGGCUUAGCUGAGUCCUCUGCUCAGGGUCUGUUACAGUGAACGGGCUACAGUUUCUCGUCAAUGUCAUGGGCUGUAGUUUCAUCCGAAGGCUGUGCUGGGGAAGGGCUCACUUCCUAACCCAUGCGCAGGAUGCUGGCAGCGUUCGAUUCCUCCAGGGCUGUCAGACUGAGGGUCUCAGUUCCCCACUGGUGGUUGGCUGCAGGCUGCCCUUGGUUUCUUGCCACGUGGGCCUUUCCAGCUUGCUUCGUGACGAAUUGCCAGAGAGAGAGAGAGAGGGCAAAUGAAGUCACAGUCUUUUAUAACCCAGUCCCAGAAGCACGAGGCAAUCACCUUUGCCCUAUUCUGUUAUUACUCAUGAGAAGCAACUCACCAGCCCACACUCAAGGUGAAGGGAUUGUUACACAAGGUGUUAUUAUGUGACUACCAGGAGAUGGGGAUCAUUGGGAUCCAUCUCAGAAUACAAUAAUACCUAUUUUAGGGGAACGUCAUAAAGAGUAAAUGAGAGUCUGCACGUAUGUAAUCAGCGUGGCACCUGGCACACAGGAUCUGCUCAAUACAGUGAUUAUUGUUAUUUUGUUGUUAUUCUCAAAGCCGUUCUGGGCUGAGGCUGAGAUAGGACAGAGCCCAACAACCCACCCCAUCUCCACGCAGUCAAAUCCUGUGUAUCCCUGGGCUCGCCCCAGUGCUCCAGGAAGCUUUCCCCCAGUCAGCUGUGAACUGUACUUCCUUGAAUGUCCCCUCCUUGUUUGCAGGGAAGGGAGCACCCACCCCUGGCUGGGCUGACAGUCACGAACACCCCACUAGCAUCGUCUAUCUCAUAGACCUUGGCGGUGGUGGGACUACAACGUUUGAGGUUUACAGAUUUCUGAGAUAUAGCAGCGGAAGGGUUAUAUACACACACACACACACACACACACACACACGCAUAUAUUUAAUCUGGAAGUUACAAAUUGUGAAGUUUGCAUUGUUACAAAAUAAAUAGAACUGUGACUUCUGUUUCACAAUUUCUGUAGUUCCUUUAUGUCCUUUUGGCAGUGCUGGCGUGUUGCUGACAGAUACGGGAUUUUCUCUCCCUCUGGGAAAUCGGAGGAGGGGGUCCUGUGACACCUUCCCACUCUGAGUGCUCUGCUCGUUAAAGAUGAGGGAACCACCACUCAGGUGAUUGGUCCAAGAUCACAACACGGUGGAACCAGGAUUUGGUUCUCUGGUUCUAAGCCCAUGCAUGGUCUUUAGGUUAUAUUCGUUCAUCCAUUUAUUCAGGAAGCAUUGUUUAGUCUCAGCGAUGCGCCAGCCUCUGUGCCAGGUACUAGGAAUAGAGUGAUGAGUACGUUUUUGUGCCAGGUCUAAAAUGCCCUGAAUGUUCCCCUUCUCUCCUACUUCCAUUGGAUUAUAGCUUUUCCAAACAGAGCCCUCACUUUCUCAACAUCUCUCCUUCUCUGUGUCUACCACAUGCUUUUGAAUUUGAAGUGGGACUAUAUUUAAGGCGAGGUUCUAUCAGCCAUUGGUUUGGGUGGAAGUGUAGCAGGAAAUGGCUUUAAGGUCCCAAGGGAGAAGGAUCUGACCAGAUAUAGAUUUGGAUGAAAGGUGGUCAGAGGCCCCGGAGGAAAAUGAGGAAUGAGGUCUAUAGAUUAAAGCAACUGAGUAACUUUUAACAGCAGCCCCUUCUCUCUGCCUGGAUAGCCCCAGACCUCUCCCCUCUCCCCUCUCUGCUCUCCCCUCCAUGGCCCUUGAGGAGUUAAACCCAAGCCACUGCCUUCCUGCCCAGUGAGCCAGGUGAUGGGAUUGCAGUUAAUGGCAAUCUGAACAAGUUUGGUCAGGUUGAAAUACAUAAGGAGAUUGAAACAUGAAAAUGCCCUCGAAAUUUAUACAAUUGAUAUAUUGUAGCUCAGCCAGCUGUUAACUCCAUUGUGUGAAAGAUGGCAGAAAUAAUUUGUAACCAGCCUCACAUUUGUUUACUGAACCUUUGCAAAGGAGGGCACGGGAGAGUCAGCUGUGUCACCAGGAAUAUCCCCACCCUCCCAGCCCCCCAUCAGGCCCCACCACAGCAGUCCCUCGGCCAGACGCGAAUUGCUUCUCAGUGGGACGUUUGUGGGCUAGGCACUGGUCAUGUGGUGGUGAACAGAAGGGACAGUCCCGCCCUCCUGAGCUUACUUACUGGCGGGAGAGAGAUUGUAACAAAGGAAUAUACUAGUAACUACAGUCCGGUAGUUAGAAGUGCUCUGGAGAAAAGAAGGGUAAUGGGAUAGAAAGGGAAGGGAGUUGGUGAAGGGGGAGCUUAGGGGAGCUUCCAGACACUGGGGCCCUAAACAAUUCUUGACAUGUUACAAGUGCAAGCCUCACUUACGUCUCUGUUCUAUAGCUUUCCCUUCCAUUUACUAGCUGUGUAUCUUUGGGAAAGUGACUUAAACUCUCUGAGCUUCCGAUGCCUCAUCUGUAAAGCGGGAAUAAUAAAUAUCUGUCACAGGAUUAUUUGAGACAAAAUGUAUUAAAGCUCAUU